rnacentral:rRNA from 1 species
GUGACCUCAAAUCAGGUAGGACUACCCGCUGAACUUAAGCAUAUCAUAAGCGGAGGAAAGAACUAACAGGAUCCCCU